UACGUAGGGUGCAAGCGUUGUCCGGAAUUAUUGGGCGUAAAGAGCUCGUAGGCGGUCUGUCGCGUCGGAUGUGAAAAUCCAGGGCUCAACCCUGGACCUGCAUUCGAUACGGGCAGACUAGAGUUCGGUAGGGGAGACUGGAAUUCCUGGUGUAGCGGUGAAAUGCGCAGAUAUCAAGAGGAACACCGGUGGCGAAGGCGGGUCUCUGGGACGGUACUGACGCUGAGACGCGAAAGCGUGGGGAGCGAACAGG
rnacentral:rRNA from 1 species